UUCGUGGUUGUAAUCCCUUCAGUGAGAACGCGGCCCGCUAAAACAGUUUGAAGCAGUCCGAAAGUCACUGUCCCUAUCUAGGGUAUACGGUAACCACAGCCAAGUGAACGGGCUUGGAAAUAUUAGCGGGACAGAUGACCCCUUUGAGCUAGACUCUAUCUGGCAGUGUAAGAAGACAUUAGAGGUGUAGAAAUAAGUGCGAGAUUUUAGACCUCGGGUUUGAUAUCGUCAAUGAAAUACCACUACUCUUAUUGUUACCUUACGUACUUGAUCAAAGGGAACGUGUAUCAUUUCCUAGCCAUUAUACGGAUAUAUUUAUUAUAUCUUAUGGUAUUGGGUUUUGAUGCAAGCUUCUUGAUCAAAGUAUCACGAGUUUGUUAUAUAAUCGCAAACAAAUUCUUUAAUAAAACGAUGCAUUUAUGUAUUUUUGAUUUGAAAAUUUGGUAUAACUCCAAUUACUCAGGUAUGAUCCAAUUCAAGGACAUUGCCAGGUAGGGAGUUUGACUGGGGCGGUACAUCUCUCAAAUAAUAACGGAGGUGUCCCAAGGCCAGCUCAGUGCGGACAGAAACCACACAUAGAGCAAAAGGGCAAAUGCUGACUUGAUCUCGGUGUUCAGUACACACAGGGACAGCAAAAGCUCGGCCUAUCGAUCCUUUUGGUUUAAAGAGUUUUUAACAAGAGGUGUCAGAAAAGUUACCAUAGGGAUAACUGGCUUGUGGCGGCCAAGCGUUCAUAGCGACGUCGCUUUUUGAUCCUUCGAUGUCGGCUCUUCCUAUCAUUGUGAAGCAAAAUUCACCAAGCGUUGGAUUGUUCACCCAUGCAAGGGAACGUGAGCUGGGUUUAGACCGUCGUGAGACAGGUUAGUUUUACCCUACUAAUGACAAAACGUUGUUGCGACAGCAUUCCUGCGUAGUACGAGAGGAACCGCAGGUACGGACCAAUGGCACAAUACUUGUUCGAGCGAACAGUGGUAUGACGCUACGUCCGUUGGAUUAUGCCUGAACGCCUCUAAGGUCGUAUCCGUGCUGGACUGCAAUGAUAAAUAAGGGGCAAUUUGCAUUGUAUGGCUUCUAAACCAUUUAAAGUUUAUAAUUUAUUUUAUAAACGACAAUGGAUGUGAUGCCAAUGUAAUUUGUAACAUAGUAAAUUAGGAGGAUCUUCGAUCACCUGAUGCCGCGCUAGUUACAUAUAAAAGCAUUAUUUAAUACAAUGACAAAGCCUAGAAUCAAUUGUAAACGACUUUUGUAACAGGCAAGGUGUUGUAAGUGGUUGAGCAGCUGCCAUACUGCGAUCCACUGAAGCUUAUCCUUUGCUUGAUGAUUCGA
rnacentral:ncRNA from 1 species